UCCCGCCCAGGGUGCUGAUUCCCUGGUUCUGUCCCGUGAGGGCUCAAAAGUACUGACUAUCAGACCCAUCCUGACAUUUAACUAAAACACUACUUGUUAGAAGGCAAAAAGUAGUUUGUCCUUGAGGUUCACAGAAGACCAGAGAUUUUAGAACCGGAACUUUGGAGAUCGUCCAGUGCAGAGAUCUAAAAGGGGCAAAUCAAAUCCACAAGAUGAUACUGUUUGUAAGUAGCAGAACCAUCAUUUACGUCUGUUUCCUAACUCUAAAUCAAGAGUUCUUUAUAUUGUGGCUCAAGUGAGGUCACACACACACACACACACACACACACACACACACACACACACACACACACACACACACGGCACACUGUCUUUUUGGCCACAGAAGGAUCUCUGGGUGAAGCAUCUCCCUCUCUCUGCAAACAUACAAAUAUCCUGAAAUUUCUCCGAGAACGUUCCUGGAGCGAGGAAAGGGUAACUGACUUACAUCCUGCCCGGCAGCCUCCAUCUCUCUGCCUCUGCCUGUUUGGCUCUGUAUAGACUACACAGAUUACAAAGAAUGUGUAUAGAAUUCCGGAUUUUGAAGACUCUUACUAGAGGAUCGGCAAUAAUCACCAAGGUAUCAUUGCUCUUGUUACACUAGAACUCCAUGUAACAAACAGGCUCCCAGUCUUCCAGGAGGAGCCAGAGUUUCCAGAAAGUACAGAACUCAGCCCUGAAGAAACUUGAAGAGUUAGUUAGAGGCAAAGGUUACAAGGAGACCUUGGCAAGGAUCGCUGGGCCCUCAAUGCCGUCCGGGCCCACGUUUCCUUUAUAGGAACUGCUUCUGGUAGGAAACAAAGAUUUCACCAGGAAGCCACGUAAAGAGGAACUCGAGAAAAGAAGCGCUUUUCUAAAGGCUAGUGUAACCCACGCCGAGUUUUUGAUGCCUACCCUGGAUGUACAGACUUGUUUCUCUCUCUCUCUCUCUCUCUCUCUCUCUCUCUCUCUCUCUCUCUCUCUCUCUCUCUCUCUCUCUCUCUCUUUUUUGCCUGCAAACUUUGUCUAGUCCUACAGAUAGAAAUAUAAAUAUAUAUAAUCCCUAUAGACAGUUGUCAACUUGGAAAAAUGCAGAAGGACUAAAGGAGUCGGCAAAAGCAAAUGUUUAAUCAGCAAAGAGAUAGUGUUUAAUAUUUGGCCACCACACAGAGUCAAGGACUGGGGACUCUGAGACAGUAUCUCUGAGAGAAUCACCACAGAAGAGGACUCUCCACAGAACAAUAGAACUUGGGAUCUUAUAUGCCUUUGGGGGAACUAGGUCCAGCAAACACCCUCUGACAGGUUGUGAGCAGGCUUGGGAAGGAGGCUAGAGCCAGAGGCUGGGGUAUCAGGAAGUGAUCUACUACACAGUAGUAGUCUCUCGGUAACCAAGGAUGAUGAUUGUUGGUUUUUUGUGUGUGUGUGUGUGCACAAAGACACUUGUGUGCGAAGGAGAUUUAAGUGGAAAAGUCGAUGCACAGAGACAGUCCCUCUCUCUCCGCGUCGGAAGCCUGGGUCCAGUGGCACGAAAAGUCGUUACACCUGGAGACUUCCUCAGCUGCAUUGGGUGGCCGUGUUGUCCUUUGUGCUCCAACAUGCCCUGAGCACUCCACAGUGCUUUGCUGGGUCGCCCUCUCAGCCGUUGAACCUUCUUAUUGGUUUCUUCUGUCUGUUCAGCCGAAGCAGUCUUCACAUGCUGGAUGAGCAAAGCCCUGGUUCACCAGGGGUCGAUGGCCUGUUGAAGCUGUUUCCCAGGGUGUGGCCACUGCCACAUGCUAGCAGCUACUGGGAGCUACAAGUGAGAGCUGGGGAGAGCUGCCCUAGGAGGGCACAAGCCCUCCAUACCAGAGAUACUACCCCUCUCUGAACACCCCAUAGACCCCUAUUCUACUACAGUGAAUACAAAAGGAAAGGGUCCAGCCAAGGGCUGGCUGGGUGACCUGGGAGAGGACUUAAAUACAAUGAAAGAAGCUACUAAGACAAAAAAGGGUACUUAACAUUUGACUAUGUCCUCUAGUCUCAGCUAAACUAGGGUCACCAAGUACUUCAAGGUGUAUUGUUCAGCCCCAAACAAGGAGUCUGGGACUUCCCUCAGGGUGAGUUCUCAGGGGCAGGGGCAAACUUGGAAUUUGCAAAAACCCAGUGGACUAUAUGUAAUCCACAUAGAUAUAAUCCUAGAUAUAUAAUCCCUAUUGUCAACUUCCUGAGGGGAAGUCCUACUCUACCAGUCUCAGGCUAACCAUAGACCUUGAGUUAGUUCUGAGUGGGGAUGGCUAAUCCCAUCAGUUAACUCUUUUUGCUUUAGAAGUCUCUCCCAUUGUACCACAUCCCCCUUUCAAGGAUGGAACCCAGACCUACAUGCUACCUACUGUGCUAUAACUCAAGGUCUAUUAUGAGUCUGAGACAGGUGAAGUAGGACUUUCCCUCAGGGAAGAACUCUCAGGAGACAAAGUGAAAGCCUCCAGUUUAAAUCUUUCUAGGGUACAAGUUUGGGGGUUUCUAGAUUCCAUGUUGACACUAUAGAUAUAUAAGCCCUAUAGAUAUAUAAUCCUAUAAAUAUAAUCCCUAUAUAUAGUAUAUGCAUAAUAUAUAUAUCAACACAAGAUCUAAGACUUAAAAUGAUAUUAUUCAGGGCACAAGAAAAUGGACAAAGGAAGAUGGCUUCAAGACAAUGAUUAUACCCAGGUCUGAGUUGACAGAGGGAAGUGGUAAAAUUGCUUCCCAGUCUCUGGUGCUUUAUGGUGGAGAGAGGUCACCAAGGUCUCAUUUGGGAUGAUGUGACUACAAGUAGAAAAAGGACCUGCCAGAAGCUUUUUGAGGAUUUGAUGUUCCCAAGUUAUUGUUAUGGGAGAAAUAAGUCCUCUAUGAGUUCAUGUGGUAGGUAACUGCUGCCAAAAUAUAUUUAGUAACAUGCAGAAAUUAUAGAGGUUUAAAAAAACCCUAGGUUUUAUUAAUAUGUUCAAGAAUAAGUUUAAGUAAAGGCAGCUAGUUGCAUACUAGGACUGGAAUUGGGAGGAUCUGGGUUCAAAAAUGGCCACAGAUACAUAGUUUUGCGACCCUGGGCAAGUCAUUUAACCCUAAUUGCCUAGUCCCAUGAUGGCAAACCUAUGGUAUACAAGCAGAACUCUCUCUGUGGGCACUGGCUGUCCCCCAUCUGAUUUCAUUACUAGAACACCAGAGGUAACUGGCAGAGCUGUUCCCUUCCCCCUCUCCACUCUGCCUGAUGACAUUUUUUUCACAUCCCCCACCCCUCUGUCCAGUAGCCCAAUGGGAACACUCAGAGGGUAAGGUGGGAGGCUCAUAGUGGCCAGAGCUGGAGGGGGGCAGAGUGCUCAGGCCAUUCCCUUCCCCCUCUCUCUCUCCACUCAUUGAGGAUAUUCCUCACUUCACCUGCCCCUCUCUCUGCCCAGCAGUCCAAUGGGAACUCUUCCCCACCCUUGUGUGGGUUAAGGGAGCAGGGCAUGCACAGCAUGUGGUGUGGAGAGGCAAGGUGCAUGGUCUCUAAAAAGUUCACCAUCACUGGUCUAGCCCUUACCACUUUUCUGCCUUGGAACCAAUGCAAAGUGCUGAUUCUAAGACAGAAGAUAAGGGUUUAUUUUUAUAAAGAAUAGCUUCAAACCUUAGAGAAAACAAUAAAUCUGAACAACCAUUAGGAUUCUAACUAGUUUUCUUACAGGCAAAAUUACCAGAGUAACAGAGAAAUAAUUCUUUUACAUUUUGCAAUCUUGUACAUUACUGUUGGGUUAUAGAAACUAAAGAAAAGACAAAAUUCAUAAUACUAUAAUUCCUUCAAUGUCAGAAAAGUUGAAAAAACAGGAUUAAACAAAGUUAUAGUCUUCUGCAUUCUCAGAGGAAACAAACUUCAUCAAACAAAUUCUAUAAGCAAAUUAAGUCAUGUAGCAGAGUAAGCUACAUUUCCACAGUUCCCAAAUAGGCUAAAAGGGGGAAGAUUUAGGUGCUGUCAAGAAGUCAGAAACAGUUGAAAUUCUUACUCAGGCCAUGGACAGUUUUUGGUCAGGUGAAAUUAAUAUUAACCGAAGAUGGGCUUUCAAUUAACCAAAAGUUG